GACGAACGCUGGCGGCGUGGAUUAGGCAUGCAAGUCGAACGGUAUGGACCUUUCGGGGUUCAGAGAGUGGCGAACGGGUGAGUAACACGUAGGUAAUCUACCCUCAAGACGGGGACAACCCAGGGAAACUUGGGCUAAUACCGGAUGUGUGUAGUGGCUAUUUUUCUGAUUAUCAUUAUUUACGUAAGUGAGUAAUAAUAAGAAGGGAAAGUGGUUAUUACAUAAAAGGUGGCGUAAGCUGCCGCUUGGGGAUGAGCCUGCGUCCUAUUAGUUAGUUGGUGAGGUAACGGCUUACCAAGGCGAUGAUAGGUAGGCGGCCUUAACGGGUGGUCGCCCACACUGGGAUUGAGAUACGGCCCAGACUCCUACGGGAGGCAGCAGUCGAGAAUAGUCUACAAUGGACGGAAGUCUGAUAGUGCGACGCCGCGUGAACGAAGAAUCCCUUCGGGGUGUAAAGUUCUUUAUACGUGAGCAGUGUCCUUUAUAUUAAUAGUAUAAGGGGAAGAUAUAGCGUAUGAAUAAGCAACGG
rnacentral:rRNA from 1 species